rnacentral:rRNA from 1 species
UACGGAGGGUGCAAGCGUUAUCCGGAUUCACUGGGUUUAAAGGGUGCGUAGGUGGGUUUGUAAGUCAGUGGUGAAAUCUCCGUGCUUAACAUGGAAACUGCCAUUGAUACUAUAGAUCUUGAAUUUUCUGGAGGAUAGCGGAAUAUGUCAUGUAGCGGUGAAAUGCUUAGAUAUGACAUAGAACACCAAAUUGCGAAGGCAGCUAUCUAACAGGGAUAUUGACACUGAGGCACGAAAAGCGUGGGGAUCAAACAGG